rnacentral:lncRNA from 1 species
CUUUCAUCUAUAGGAUGGCGGGAAGGAGGAGUACUACGGGCCGCUACGAGGUUCAAUCCAAGCUCAUUUAAUCUUGUUUGUCGGUGCUUCCGGAAGAGCGUAUUUAAUCUUUCUAUAAAUAUUUAAUGAUUCUCUGCUACGCGCCUGGAGCUGCUAUAAAUGCUGAAAAAACAGCAGUGAACAAAACAGAUAAAAAUUCUUGUCCUUGUGGGGUUGAGAUUCUAGUGGAACAAGACAGAUACUAAAACCAACAGGAGCCGGCGCCGUGGCUCGCGCCUGGAAUGUCAGGUACUCCCGACGCUGAGACGGGAGGAUCACGUGAGCCCAGGAGUUGGACACCAGCCCUGGGCAACAUAGCGAAACUCUUGUCUCUACAAAAAAUUUAAAAACUAGCCAGACUUUGGCCCGGCGCGGUGGGUCACGCGUGUAAUCCCAGCACUUUGGGAGGCCGAGGCGGGCGGAUCGCCUGAGGUCAGGAGUUCGAGAUACGCCCGGCCAACCUGGUGAAACCCGGUCUCUACUAAAAAUACAAAAGUUAGCUGGGCGUGGUGGCGGGCCCCUGUAAUCCCAGCUACUCGGGAGGCUGAAGCAGGAGAAUGGCUUGAACCCGGGAGGCGGAGGUUGCGGUGAGCCGAGAUCGCACCAUUGCACUCCAACCUGGGCGACAGAGCGAGACUCCGUAUCAAAAAAAAAAAAAAAAAUUGGACGUGAUAGCGCCCACCUGUGGUCUCAGCUAGCUACUCAGGAGACUGAGAUGGGAGGAUCGCUUGAACCCAGGAGGUCGUGGCUAUAGUGAGUCGUGAUCGCACCACUGCACUCCAGGCUGGGUGACAGAGUGGUACCCUGUCUCAAAAAAAUGGUAAAUAUUUAUAGUAGUGGGUUAGGUGGAGCAAAGUGAAGCAGGGAAGAGGGGAGUCCAACUUUACAGAGGAUAGAGAAAGGUUAUCUCGUCUUUUUUAAAUUUAUUUUUGUUUUUGUUUUGUUUUGUUUUUUGAGACGGAGUCUCACUCUGUCGCUCAGGCUGGAGUGCAGUGGCGCUAUCUCGGUUCACUGCAAGCUCCACCUCCCGGGUUCACGCCAUUCUCCUGCUUCAGCCUCCCGAGUAGCUGGGAUUACAGGCGCAUGCCACCACGCCCGGCUAAUUUUUUUGUAUUUUUAGUAGAGACGGGGUUUCACCGUGUUAACCAGGAUGGUCUUCAACUCCUGACCUCAAGUAAUCUGCCCGCCUCGGCCUCCCGAAGUGCUGGGAUUACAGGCGUGACCCACCGCGCCCGGCAGGUAAUAAUUAUUGUAGGAUUCAAGGAAGAAUUACAUGUGAAGAUCCUUGUAAGUGUUUAAUACAAUAUACACACUAACCCCUCCACAAAAGGUAAUUAUUACAUAGGAGAAAAUUGAUAGAAGUAACUUGUCCACAGAUAUCACCUGUUCUAGCAAUAAGGCCAAACUUCCAGCCUGGUCUGUCAGACUCCAAAAUGGCCUUCCUCCUUUUAGAAAAGGGAAAUAUUAGCAAGCGUUGGGACCUGAGGAGAGGGAGUUUUUGUUUUUGUUCUUCUACCCUAUGUUCUCUGAUGGUAGAAUUGCAACCAAAUAAUAAUAAUAAUUGCUAGUUUAUUUGAAUGUUUACUAUGUCAUAGGUUCUUUAAAUGCAUUGAUUUACUUAAUCCGUUCAACAACCCUAUUUAUUCACAUUUCAGAUGAGGAAACUGACCUUUAGAAAGAGUAAGUACCACAAAGAUUACUUCCUGGUCCUAAGGGGUAAGUUAACUGUGCCCCGGCUCUUACCACCAUAACACCGUGGUAAAUCUUAACAUAAUGGCAGAACAACCAGAUAUUAUGUGUCUCCUGCUGGGAUGACAAUAUUAAGUAGCUACCAUCAACUAUGACUUUUUUUUUUUUUUUUUUGAGAGAGGGUCUCGCCCUGUUGCCCAGGCUGGAAUGCAGUGGUUCUAUCACAGCUCACUUCAGCCUCAACCUCCCGGGAUCAAGCAAUCCUCCCUCUUCACCUUCCAAGUAGCUGGGACUACAGGCACCUGACACCAUACCCUUGUUAAUUUUUUUAAUUUUUUGCAGAAAAAGGGUCUCAAACUCCUGACUUCAAGCAAUUUCCCACCUCAGCCUCCCAAAGUUCUGGGAUUACAUGUGUUAGUUAGCCUCUAUACCCAACAACUAUGACAUAUUAUAAAAAAUGUUUAGUAGCCACAAAAAUUAAAAAUAAUUUUUAAAAAAUGUUUAACUUAGAUCUAAUCAAGUUAACAGGAUAGUCUAUAGGAUCAGCUAAAGGAAAGCAAAAGGCAGCAAACAAAUUCUGGCAGUAGGAUGUUGUAAGGACAACUGGCCUCUUUCCUUCACUAAUUUAGGAAAAGGUAUUUUUCUAAAUUUAAAUAUUAAGAGACAUAACAACCAGAUGUAGUGUAUCAUCUACAUCUAGAUCCUAGUUUGGACAAACCAGCUAUAAAGGACAUUUUGCAGAAAAUGCCUGGGUCUUGAUGUUGCAUUUCCAGAAACCCACCUUUGUCCAGGUACCUUCAGUUGAUUUUCCUCAAGGGAAUGGAUUCAUCAGUUAUGUUGUUUAUUUUGUUUUGGUUUUUGUUUUUUUCUGAGAUACGUUUGCACUCUAGCCUGGCAACAGAGCGAGACUCCGACUCAAAUAAAAAAAAAAAAAAGUCAGUGGUGGACUGACUCCAUGAAGGCUGCAUGGGCUGGACUCCAAUACUGGUUGACUUCCAAGCUGAAUUGCUGGGCUCCAUCAAUUGGAGGCAUUUUCUGGAGAUUGGAGAGAUCAAGGAAAAAGCCAGAGUAUCUCCUACCCUGACACCACCUCCAAGCCAGAGUAUCCAUCCUCUCCCCACCCCUCAACAUCAGGCUGUCUCCUACAACCUACUUGGAUCUAACUUGUAGUAGUUGAUCCUAGACCCUGAGCUCUGGUAGCACAGUGUUGUCCUGUCCCUCUAGUGUAAGGGUGGCAGUAGCUUCUUGCUGUCACUCAUCUCUGUCUGGGCUAUUUGACUAUUCUGUUUGGCUUUUUGUCUCUGCCAACACCUGUAUAAACCAUUUAUCUGGAUUAAGUUCCCUGUGUUUUUUUUUUUUUUUUUUUUUGAGACGGAGUCUCGCACUCUCGCCCAGGCUGGAGUGCAGCGGCACAAUCUCGGCUCACUGCAAGCUCCGCUUCCCGGGUUCACGCCAUUCUCCUGCCUCAGCCUCCCGAGUAGCUGGGACUACAGGCGCCCGCCACCAUGCCCGGCUAAUUUUUUGUAUUUUUUAGCAGAGACGGGGUUUCACCAUGUUAGCCAGGAUGGUCUCGAUCUCCUGACCUCGUGAUCCGCCCACCUCGGCCUCCCAAAGUGCUGGGAUUACAGGCGUGAGCCACCGCGCCCAGCCUGUUCCCUGUGUUUUAAAGACUUAGAAUGGUUUUCCAGGUUGGACCUUGACAUAUAUGUAUAUAUACAUAUGUAUAUAUGCUCAGAGUGACCUUAUCUCCAAGUCCCAAGGGGUAUCUCCAUCAUUUCCUGCCCAUAGGCCCUGCUAUCUUGUAAAGCAGUGCUUUUCACACUUUUUCUCUGAAUGUCCAAGGCAACUGAGAGAGUUCAUUUGUCACCCUCAUUCCUCUAGGUCUAUAGCCAAAAUCCCUAGUGCCCACCUGAGCUUGAAAUGCCCUUGAAAUCUUGUGCUCUUGCGUGGUGUCCUAAAAACUCACAGUUAGUAAUCUACUUCAUAACACAUCUAUGUUGUUCUUAAGGUAUUUUACAUUUAAAAUGUAUUUUAUUUACUUAUAUUUGAAUAGGUAGUGUAUACACAUGGUAGAAAAUUAGAAAACCACAAAAAUGUUUCCUAGCCACACCCUUGUUCCCAGUUUCUUUUCUUUUUCUUUACUUCUUCUUUUUUUUUUUUUUUUUUUUUUUUUUUUUUUUUUUGAGAGAGAGCCUUGCUCUGUCGCCCAGUCUUGAGUACAGUGGCGCGAUCUCAGCUCACUGCAAUCUCCGCCUUCCAGGUUCACGCCAUUCUCCUGCCUCAGCCUCCCGAGUAGCUGGGACUACAGGCGCCCACUACCAUGGCCAGCUAAUUUUUGUAUUUUUAGUAGAGAUGGGGUUUCACUGUGUUAGCCAGGGUGGUCUCAAUCUCCUGACCUCGUGAUUCACCCAACUCAACCUCCCAAAGUGCUGGGAUUACAGGCAUGAGCCACCACGCCCGGCCUCUUUUUUUUUUUUUUUUUUUAUAGAGACAGAGUCUCACUCUGUAGCCCAGGCUGGAGUGCAAUGGUGUGCUCUUGGAUCACUGCAACCUCCACCUCCCGGGUUCAAGUGAUUCUCCUGCCUCAGCCUCCCCAGUAGCUGGGACUACAGGUGUGCACUGCCACGCCCAGCUAAUUUUUCUAUUUUUAGUAGACACAGGGUUUCACCAUGUUGGCCAGGCUGAUCUUGAACUCCUGGCCUCAAGUGAUCCACCUGCCUUGGCCUCCUAAAGUGCUGGGAUUACAGGCGUAAGCCACCGCACCCAGCCCCUUGUUCCCAGUUUCUUACAUAUCUUUCCAGAAAAAGAUUAUCCAUAUGCAAACAAAAAUAUGUUUCCUGGUUCUGUUUUACAGAUGCAUAGUAUUUCGUUGUGUAGAUGUACCUCCAUAUAUUAAUCAGUCCUUUAUUGAUGAAUGCUUAAAUUGUUUCCUGUCUCUUUCUAAUUUAGUGAUGCUGCAGUACAUCAUUAAUUCACAGACAUGCAAAUAUGUUUAUAAGAUAAAGUUUGGGCUGGGCACUGUGGCUCAGACCUAUAAUCCCAGCACUUUGGGAGGCCGAGGCGGGUGGAUCACCUGAAGUCAGGAGUUCAAGACCAGCCUGACCAAGAUGGUGAAACCCUGUCUCUACUAAAAGUAGAAAAAUUAGCCAGGUGUGGUGGCACGCACCUGUAAUCCCAGCUACUCGGGAGACUGGGGCAGGAGAAUCACUUGGACCCAGGAGGUGGAGGUUGCAGUGAGGGGAGACGGCACCAUUGCACUCCAGCCUAGGUGACAGAGUGAGAAUCUGUCUCAAAAAAAUAAAUAAAAUAAAUAAAAAAGAUUGGCUGGGUGCGGUGGCUCACACUUGUAAUCCCAGCACUUUGGGAGGCCAAGGUGGGUGGAUCACCUGAGGUCAGAAGUUCGCAACCAGCCUGGCCAACAUGAUGAAACCAUGAAAACAUGGUGAAACAUUCUCUACUAAAAAUAGAAAAAUUAGCCAGGCGUGGUGGCACACACCUGUAAUCCCAGCUACUUGGGAAGCUGAGGCAGGAGAAUCACUUGAACCCGGGAGGCAGAGGUUGCAGUGAGCCAAGACCGUGCCAUUGCACUCCAGCAUGGGCAACGAGCAAAACUCCAUCUCAAAAAAAGAAAGGAAAAAAAAAAGAUAAAAUUCUAGGAGUGAAAUUGCUAGGUUGAAGAGCUUUCUUUGCAUUUGUAAUUUUGAAAAAUAAUGCUAAAUCGCCCUUCAUUGUGGUUAUAUUUGAGAGUGCUUUUUUACCGUAUCUGAUAAAUAAAAAAUGGCAUUGUGUUAUCAUUUCUUUUUUGAGACAGAGUCUCACUCUGUCACCGAGGCUGGAGUGCAGUGGCCGAGUCUUGGCACACUGCAAACUCUGCCUCCUGGGUUCAAGUGAUUCUCAUGCCUCAGCCUCCCAAGUAGCUGAGAUUACAGGUGCACGCCACCACACCUGGCUAAUUUUUGUAUUUUUGGUGGAGUUGGGAUUUCAGCAUGUUUGCCAGGCUGGUCUUGAACUCUUGGCCUCAAGUGAUCUGCCCACUUCGGCCUCCCAAAGUGCACAGGCGUGAGCCACUGUGCCUGGCUGUAUUAUAAUUUUAAUUUGUGUUUCUCCAUAUGAAUAAAGGUGAAUAUAUUUCAUAUGUUAAAAAGUCCAAUGAGCCUGGGCAACAUGGUGAGACCCUGUCUCUACAAAAAAUACAAAUAUUAGCCAGGCAUGGUGUCACACACCUGUAGUUUCAGCUACUCAGAAGGCUAAGGUGGGAGGAUCACUUAAGCCCAGGAGACUAAGGCUGUACUCAGUCGUGAUUGUGCCACUGCACUACAGCCCAGGCGACAGAAUGAGACCCUGUCCCAAAAAAAAAAAAAAAAUAUUUCACAGAUCCUUCUUUGUAGAUUGCCUUUUUUUUUUUUCUGACAGAGUCUCACUCUGUCACCCAGGUUGGUUUGAGACAGAGUCUCACUCUGUCCCACCCAGGCUGGUUUGCGACAGAGUCUCACUCUGUCACCCAGGUUGGAGUGCAGUGGUGUGAUCUUGGCUCACUACAAACUCCAUCUCCUGGGCUCAAGUGAUUCUCAUGCCUCAGCCUCCCAGGUAGCUGGGAUUACAGGCGCCCGCCACCACACCUGGCUAAUUUUUGUAUUUUUUGUAGAGACGAGCUUUCACCACGUUGGCUAGGCUGGUGUCCUAAUUCCUGACCUCAAAUGAUCCACCUGCCUUGGCCUCCUAAAGUACUGGGAUUGCCUGACUGCCUUUUUAUAUUCUUUGCCCCUUUAUCUGUUAUAUUGUUAGUCUCAUCCUUUUUUUCUUUUUCGUUUUUCUUUUUCUUUCUUUUUUUUUUUUUUUUUGAGAUGGAGUCUCGAUCUAUCGCCCAGGCUGGAGUGCAGUAGUGGGAUCUCAGCUCACUGCAGGCUCUGCCUCCCGGGUUCACACCACUCUCCUGCCUCAGCCUCCCGAGUAGCUGGGACUACAGGCACCCACCACCAUGCUCAGCUAAUUUUUUUGUAUUUUUUAGGAGAGACAGGGUUUCACCAUCUUAGCCAGUAUGAUCUCGAUCUCCCGACCUCGUAAUCUGCCUGCCUUGGCCUCCCAAAGUGCUGGGAUUACAGGCAUGAGCCACCAUGCCUGGCCCUAGUCUCAUCCUUUUCUUAUUGAUUUGUAGAGAGCUCUUCAUAUAUUAAGGAAAUUAACUCCAUGCCUCUUAUAUGAUUUGCAGAUAUUUUUCCACUUGUUAUUUGUCUUUGGCAUUAUUUUGGGUAGUUUUUAUCCUGAAAAAAAGGUUUUAAUUUGUAUGUUGGUCAAACUUAUUUAUCUUUUCUUUUUUGACUUCUGGGUUUUAUGUCACAUGUAGAUAGGCCUUCACCUUUCUAAGAUUAUUUGUUUAAAUUCUCUCACACAUUGGCUGGGCAUGGUGGCUCACGCCUGUAAUCCCAGCACUUUGGGAGGCAGAGGUAGGUAGAUUGCCUGAGGUCAGGAGUUUGAGACCAGCCUGGCCAACAUGGCAAAACCCCGUCUCUACUAAAAAUACAAAAAUUAGCUGGGCAUGGUGGCACAUGCCUGCAGUCCCAGCUACUCAGGAGGCUGAGGCAUGAGAAUCGCUUGAACCUGGGAGGCAGAGGCUGCAGUGAGUCGAGAUCAUGCCACUGCACUCCAGCUUGGGUGAAAGAGCAAGACUCCAUCUCAAAAAAAAUAAAAAAAUAAAUUCUCCCACAUAUUUUUCUUUUCUUUUUUUCUUUCUUUCUUUCUUCUUUUUUUUUUUCUUUUGAGAAGGACCUCUAACUGCAUCUCACUGAAAGAGAAAAAAAGAAAGACAGUCUCACUCUGUCACUCAGGCUGGAGUGUGGUGGUGCAGUCAUAGCUCACUGCAGCCUUGGCCUUUUGGGCUCAAGCAGUCCUCCCACCUGAGCCUCCCAAGCAGCUGGUACUAUAGGCACAUACCACCAUGCCUGGCUAAUAAUUAAAAAAAAUUUUUUUAGAGACAAAGUCUUGCUAUGUUACCCAGGCUGGUCUUGAACUCCUGGACUCAAGUGAUCCUCCCGCGUUGGCCUCCCAAAGUGCUGGGAUUAUAGGUGUGAGCCACUAUGCCUAGCUCAUUUUUUCUGAUUCUUUUAUUAUUUUAUUUUUUUCAUGUUUAUAUCCUUUAUCCAUCUGGAACUUAUUUUAAAGUAAGGUGUGGAAGAGGGAUCUAUGCUAAUUUUUCUUUUCACAAACAUCAACCUAGUUAUCCUAGCACCAGUUUUUGAAAAUCUAUCAUUUUUCCUACCAAUUUGAAAUCCUAUUUUAUUAUAGGCUAAACUCCUCUACAUUCUAUUUAACCUCUGGGCUUUCUGGUCUGUUUCAUUGGUCUAUUGAUUUGCCUCUACCAAGUGUUUUAAUUAUUACAACUCAUAUCUGCUAUUUUAAUAUAACAGUCUAUGUAAAUUAACCAGUUGAGUUACUUAGCUUUAUCCCUUCCUAAAAAAUUCUUCCAGUAGGCCGGGUGUGGUGGCUUAUGCCUGGAAGAAAUUUUCUAGUUGCAUAUGACAAAACCCUACUUAAACCUGCUUAGGUAAAUAGGAUAUAGAGGCUCAGCAAGCUGGGACAUUGAAGGGUAGAUUUAUCCUCAGGUGUGAUUGACUUAGGGCCUGAAAUAAUGUCACUCGGUCUCUCUCCUUUUCUCAUCUCUGCUUGUUUGCUUCUCUUUGCACACUGGCCUCAUUGUCCCACGUUGCAGCCUGGUUUCCUCCACACAGAUGGGACAGCCUCAUUUAUCUCCAAACUUCCAUUCUUCUAGCACAUAAUGCCAGAAGCCAGGGAAGGACCUAAAUGGGCACACUUAUACAUCAAGAAUCCUCCUUGGUUGGGGAUGAGUAGAAAACUGUGAUUGCCAGUCCCACUUAAACCUUAGGGAGAGAAGGAGGAAUACCCAAAACUUGGGGGAGUACUGUUGUCAAAGAAGAAGUAUAAAAACGCAUCCUGGGCCCAAAAUGGUAUGUACAGCUGCAACCACUGGUCUUGCCUAACCCAGUCUGCAAAGCCUAACUCAAAGGAGGUACCAGUUUAAGGUGGUAAUUUCCAUUGUCACCACCAGAAGACUUGAGUCCUUAGUUCCAUAGUAAACUACACCUUCCUCAACUCUCCUAUAUCUUUCCACAAUGCUGAAACACAAAAAGUAAUAGUUAUUCAACAAAUGUUUACUGAGCAUUCUCUUUGUGUUCAGGUCUCUGUUGGCCACCAUUAAUAGGAAAAUGAGUAACACACUGUGCCCAUCUUCAAGUUUAGUGUGGGACAUAAGCAUUUAAACAAAGAAUUGCAGCCUUUUUUGGUAAGGACUAUGAUAAGACAACUUUAUCAAAAGGCAGUAGCACAGUGGUCAUGAGCACAGCCUCUAGAUCCAGUCUGCCUGUGUUUGAAUCCCAGUAUCACCACAAGCUGCUGCUUUGAUCUUGGGGAAGUUGCUUAACCUCUUUGUGUCUCAGCUUUCUCAUCUGUAAAAUGGAGAUGAUAAUAGUACCUCCUUCAGAGGGUCAUGGCUGUGAGGGCUGAUUAAGAUCAUUCUCUUAAAGCACUUGGCAGGGUGUGGUGGCUCAUGCCUGUAAUCCCAGCACUUUGGGAGGCCAAGACAGGCGGAUCACGAGGUCAAGAGAUUGAGACCAUCCUGACUAACACGGUGAAACCCCAUCUCUACUAAAAAUACAAAAAGUUAGCCGGGCGUGGUGGCGGGUGCCUGUAGUCCCAGCUACUCAAGAGGCUGAGGCAGGAGAAUGGAGUGAACCUGGGAGGCGGAGCUUGCAGUAAGCCGAGAUCGCGCCACUGCACUCCAGCCUGGGUGACAGAGCGAGACUCCGUCUCAAAAAACAAACAAACAAACAAAAAACGAAUAAUAAAGCACUUAGCACUGCAUGGUAAGCAUGCAGUAAUUGGUGGAUAGUGUUGGGACUGUCAGUAAGAAUAAGUACCCAAAACCUAGGUCUCUUGAAUUCCAAAUCCAGGAAUCCCUCCAAACCUCUUCAGGGUCACACAGGGGAUGAGCUGUGGAACUGGAGAGGCAUUUUUCUUCUCCCAAUAAGAUACUUCAGCUUCACUUUGUUGUUUUGUUUGUUUUUACACCUUGUUUCUACUCCAUCAUAUCAGCUUCGCUUUGUAGCCAUCGUUGGCUGUUGACUCCUCCAUCUGUUAAGCACUCUUCAGAAUCUACAAUUCUUAGUUCCAUUGCCAAACCUCAGGGCCCUGAAGUGCAGGGGAGAGGCUGAAUUCCAAAGACAGACUUGCUUCUGUACUCUGAGUGAUACUUCCAGAGCUGUUGAUCUGUUGAUGGAUGCCUCACUGAGAAAGAUCAUACCAUUGUGGCCUUCCCUGCUAACUUUUCAUUUUGAACUGAGAGCUUGUGGCCAUGAAGUGGACUCAGAAGGCUAAAACUGGAUCUUUCUAUUUGGAAACAACAGCUGGAUGUAGGGAUGUAAAAGCUCACGCCAGGCCUCCCAGGUAGGUGUAAACAUAGCUGUGGCUGGGAUGACUGUGGCUGGCAAUCUUCAUCCCACUCUACCCUGCAAGUGAAAUCGCUUGGGAGGUGACCUAGCUGCUGCUUUCCAAGGCCAUGGGUAUCUGGAGACAAAGCUUUCUCCACCUAGCCUGGGCAAAUGAGAACAACACUAAGACUACGAUGAGGAUGCCCAUCUGGCACCUACAAGGUGGUGGCAGACACCACCCAUCUUUGCCUGGCUAUGUGGGAAGGAAAUAAUUAUUCGUUAGUUCUGCUGUUACUGUCCUGGCUCCCUCACAGUAAACAAAGGGCUCACUACUGAGAAUAGAAAAGGCCAAAGUCCCAGGGCCUGGGGAACAUGUUCUUUGUUGAACCUCUUUAUUAAUCUAAAGCUGUUGGACCAACAGGUUGUGGUGUUAGGCGGAAGCUGGGCAGGCACUAAUCACUAAGGCAGAAGAACGGGUUUGGCAGGGUAGUUUUGAGUAGCAGCUUAUUGAAGAGGUGUUAUUACUCACUUUUUUAUUUUUUAUUUUUUUGAGACAAGUUCUCAAUCUGUCACCCAGGCUGGAAUGCAGUGGUACGAUCUCAGCUCACUGCAACCUCUGCCUCCCGGGCUCAAGUGAUCCUCCCACCCCAGCCUCCCGAGUAGCUGGGACUACAGAUGCAUGCCACCAUAUCUUUUGCAUUUUUUUGAAGAGACUGGGUUUCACGGUAUUGCCCAGGCUAGUCUUGAACUUCUGGGCCCAAUCUAUCUGCCCACCUCAGCCUCUCAAAGUGUUGGGAUGACAGGCAUGAGCCACCCCGCCGGCCCUAUGACUCACUCUUGAAAUGUCUUUUCUUAGAUAGAUAUGAUCUUUGGUCAGGGAGUAUUCUAUUAGCGCAGGAAGCUUUCAGUCUGAUUCUAGGGGUGGCAAGCUGGAAACAGGAUCAUGAGUGGCCUCUAUAUGGCUUCAUACUCCAGCAGAACCUGAGGUUGUGGUUGGGAAUGAGACACAUACAAACACACAAACACACCCACACACAUACGCCAUUCUGCUGCCCUAUGGCAUGUUAUCUUUUAGUGGCUUGGCUUUUACUGGGAGAGAAGGGAAACUAACAUUUAUUAAGCACCUAGUUUGUGUCAGCACUAGGCAAUGUGCUUUCAUUAUGUUAUCUGAUGGGAUUUGAUUUUGAAGCUUUUUUUACUGAUAAGGAAACUGAGACUGAAGGAGAUGAUAUAAUCUGAACAAGAUUGCAUAGUUAAUAUGUGGGAAAAAGAGAAUUUGAGCCCAAAUAGAGUCCAGCGCUUACCCACUUUCCAUUGAAUACACUGCCUGUACACCUGAGACCGCCACAGUCCAGACCCGAGUGCAACCUGCCCCAAGUAACUCCUUUGCUGCAAUGGCUGAAGCUCAUUUUUUUCACAUAGAGACUUCAAAUCACCAACAUGUAGCCCCCAGCUGGAACGCCUUCCACAUAAAAGGGAUAGCUCCCCUAAAAGGUAUAUAUUUUAUGUCUUUUUUUUUAACUUUUUUUUUUUAAGAUGGGAUUUUUAUGUUGCCCAGGCUGAUCUUGAACUCCUAGCCUCAAGUGAUCCUCCUGCCUCAGCCUCCCAAAGUGCUAGGAUUAUAGGAGUGAGCCACCACACCUGGCAGGUGUAUCUUAUUGUAUGUAAAUUAUACCCUCAUUAAACCUGACUUUUUUUUUUCUUUUUGGUUGUAAGUUUAUUCAACGCAAAAGAAUCCUCUCCAAUUUUACUGAGGUAGCUGACUAUGUCCACAACCAAAUCCGCCUCUAAACUGGAAUUCAGUUGCUGACCCAGCCCCAGACUCGGCUUUCUUGUCGGCACCAGGUGGCACAGCACUCUGUCUGUAGGUAUCUCUGUCAGCUUCCCAAUCUCCGGGGGCAGAUGAAGGUAAUCAUGGAGAUACUGGAUACCCUCAUUGGUAAGGUACCAGUAGAAAUGUCUCCAGGCAAACUGUUCCUUCACGUAGCCUCGGGACUAGAGAGACUGCAUGGCUUUCAUGACAUGAAGGUUGGGCACAUUCUUGUCUGCCAGCUCCGGGUGCUUAGGCAUGUGGACAUCCUUCUUGGCCACCAUGACUCCCUUCUUAAAAAGGAGUUCAUAAAUGGCAAUCCGGUUCUUCUUAGGCAUCAACAUCUCUGCGGCUGCAGGGGCCGGGGCCGGGGCUGGAAAAGCUAAACCUGACUUUUUAUUUUUAUUCAUGUACUGAUUUAGAGGCAGGGUCUCAUUCUCUUGCCCAGGCUGGGGUGUAGUGGCAUGAUCAUGGUUCACUGUAACCUUGAACUCCUGGGCUCAAGCAAUCGUCCUGCCUCAGCCUCCCUAAGAGCAGCAGCUGGAACUACAGUCACACCACCACAUUUGUUUUUGUUUUUUGUUUUUAGGAUUUUUUUCUCUUUUUUUGAGACAUGAUCUCACUCUGUUGCCCAAGCUGGAGUGCAGUGGCGGGAUCACAGCUCACUGCAGCCUCAACUGCCUGGGCUCAAGGAAUUCCCCUACCCUCAGCCUCCUGGGUACCUGGGACCACAGACAUGUGUCACCAUGCCCAGCUAGUUUUUUUUAUUAUUUGUAGCCAAGAGGUCUCACUGUGUUGUCCAGGCUUGUCUUGAACUCCUGAGCUCAAGCAGUCCUCCUGCCUUGGCUUCCCAAAGUGCUGGGAUUACAGGAGUGAGCCACCACUCCUGGCUGGACAUCCAGCUAAUUUUUGAAUUUUGGGGAUUAUAGGCAUGAGCCACCAUCCCAGCCUAUUUAUUUAAGUGUAGUCAAAGCAGUGAGGAAGAAGGAAAGAGUAGAACAGCCAGGUGCAGUGGGUCACACCUGUAAUUCCAGCACUCUGGGAAACUGACAUAGGAGGAUCACUUGAGCCCGGGAGUUACCAGCCUGGGCAACAUAGGGAGAUCUCUUCUCUACCAAAAAAAAAAAAAAAAAAA